GGUUACUGCUAUCGAGGUUCGACUAAGCCAUGCGAGUCGAAUGUAGCAAUACAUGGCGAACUGCUCAGUAACACGUGGACAACCUGCCCUUAGGUUGGGUAUAAACCCGGGAAACUGGGUAUAAUACCCGAUAGGUCUCGAUUGCUGGAAUGCAUCGAGAUUUAAAAGCUCCGGCGCCUAAGGAUGGGUCUGCGGCCUAUCAGGUAGUAGUGGGUGUAGCGUACCUACUAGCCUACGACGGGUACGGGUUGUGAGAGCAAGAGCCCGGAGAUGGAUUCUGAGACACGAAUCCAGGCCCUACGGGGUGCAGCAGGCGCGAAAACUUUACAAUGCUGGCAACAGCGAUAAGGGGAACCUCGAGUGCCAGGUUACAAAUCUGGCUGUCGAGAUGCCUAAAAAGCAUUUCAUAGCAAGGGCCGGGCAAGACCGGUGCCAGCCGCCGCGGUAACACCGGCGGCGUCGAGUGGUAACCGUUAUUAUUGGGUCUAAAGGGUCUGUAGCCGGCCGGAUAAGUCUCUUGAGAAAUCU
rnacentral:rRNA from 1 species